CCUACGGGAGGCAGCAGUGAGGAAUAUUGGUCAAUGGGCGCGAGCCUGAACCAGCCAAGUAGCGUGAAGGAUGACUGCCCUACGGGUUGUAAACUUCUUUUAUAAAGGAAUAAAGUGAGGCACGUGUGCCUUUCUGUAUGUACUUUAUGAAUAAGGAUCGGCUAACUCCGUGCCAGCAGCCGCGGUAAUACGGAGGAUCCGAGCGUUAUCCGGAUUUAUUGGGUUUAACGGGAGCGUAGAUGGGUUGUUAAGUCAGUUGUGAAAGUUGGCGGCUCAACGGUAAAAGUGCCAUUGAUACUGGCAGUCUUGAGUACAGUUGAGGUAGGCGGAAUUCGUGGUGUAGCGGUGAAAUGCUUAGAUAUCACGCAGAACUCCGAUUGCGAAGGCAGCUUACUAAACUGCCACUGACAUUGAUGCUCGAAAGUGUGGGUAUCAAACAGGAUUAGAUACCCCAGUAGUC
rnacentral:rRNA from 1 species